AGAUUAAUAAAGUAACUGUAAUUAAACAGUGCAUUAAUAAAUUGCGUUAAUAGUGAAACAAUGUGAGACUAAUGCACACAAGAAUGAAAUGAGGUUAAAGAAUAAUAACACAAAGAUUAAAAAUAGAAAUGAAAUCCUCUGAACACCACAUGAACUGUGUGUGUUUGCAGUGAAAGUGGAGGACCGCGGUCCUCAGUGGACCAUCACCACACCAAAGGAACUAACAAAGAUAAACUGUGUGUGGACUGUGUUCAAAGCAGCUGACUUACACCACCACAACAAACGUGGACUCACCUGGUGACCUGUCAUCUGAGUGAAGCAGCGGAGGAACCAGUGACGCAGCCUCAGCAGGACUCUUACCACAGGUGCAAAAAAAACCCCAUCACAGUGUCUCAGUCAGCACCAAACCAAAAGAUGCAGUGACCCAGCUCCACCUGCUGCCGUCUCUCCGCCGAGGCCCGGCGGUGGUCCAGCUCUGAGGAGGAGGUGCCUGAGCAGCGCUCUGAGUCGGACGCUCUGAGUCGGACGCUCUGAGUCAGACGCUCUGAGUCGGACGUUCUGUGCAGAGAGCUGCUGGUUCAGAGCGUCAGGAGAAUGGAAGGUCCAACGGUUCCUCUGCUGCGUCCAUCAGCAGGAGUCUGGACCCCGGCCACAGACGGACCUCUGCUCAACGACAGCCUCAUCCAUUGUACCAUUUUUUAUUUGAAUAUAUAUUAUUUUAGAUUAUUAUUAUUCUGACUUUUAGUUGAUUAAAAGUUCACAUCUCUGUUCUUCUUUUCUGUCGUGAGAAAACCUUUGUGUUUUUUUUUCUUCACUGAAACCAAAUGGAUAAACUCUAAUUGUGAUUUGCACAACAACUUGAUUUUCUCUCUUCUACUUUAAAGUGAAUGAAUGUUUCUGAGGACUCGCUGCUGAUGUGUGUGUUCAGAGCUCAGCAGGUCACACACUGGUCACAUUCAAGCAAACUUUAUUAAUGUGAUAUGAAGCAGUAAUGCAGGUUGAUAAUAUGAGGAGGGAGCUCGCCUAUAUACAGCUCUGCAGGUAUGUGUGGUUACAGGUCGUCAAGUACAAGCACAAGUACACACACUGUGCACUCUGUAUACACACUCUAUACAGUGUCCACCAACAGAAACACACACGCCGGUGUGUGAGCUCACUUCAUGUCACGACACAAAGCGACAACGUUUAGCACCAAUAAUCAAAGAUCUACUCUACAGCACCGAUAAUGAACAGAAAGCAGGAUUAGUUUAAAACACAAACUGCUGUUUGUCA